GACAGCAAAGAAGCCAAAAAGGCCCAAGUCCACAAGACAGAAAGAAUGGGUGAAAAGUCCAUGUCAUCUCAUUUUUGGAGAUGGACAUGGACAGGGGCUGAAACUGCAGUAUCAGCAGAUGGGGAGCUUAAGAAGGAAGCUAGUUCAUGGCACAGCACCCCUAAAGUCCCCAGAAUUGGAGGCACCAGAUUCUUCUGAAAGAAAAGAGCAAUUCAGCACUUGUCACGGAGAUAAGAGGUCAACACCCCAGGACGGAGUGAAAACCUAAGGCCUUAGCAUAUGCUAUUCCUUCUGCCUGGAGGGCGCAUCCCCCAACCAUCACAUGACUGGCCACAUUGCUCAGACUUUAGCCUAGAUGUCACCUCUUCAGAGAAGCCUUCUCUGACCACCCUAUUUAAUGUUGAUCACUCCACCUGCAGCCCAAACACCAGCUAAUAAAUUCCCUCCUACUCC
rnacentral:lncRNA from 1 species